rnacentral:rRNA from 1 species
UACGAAGGGGGCUAGCGUUGCUCGGAAUCACUGGGCGUAAAGCGCACGUAGGCGGAUUGUUAAGUCAGGGGUGAAAUCCUGGAGCUCAAUUCCAGAACUGCCUUUGAUACUGGCGAUCUUGAGUCCGGGAGAGGUGAGUGGAACUGCGAGUGUAGAGGUGAAAUUCGUAGAUAUUCGCAAGAACACCAGUGGCGAAGGCGGCUCACUGGCCCGGUACUGACGCUGAGGUGCGAAAGCGUGGGGAGCAAACAGG